GCCCGAGCGCGCCUGAGCGGGGGCGGCUGGGUUUGGGGCCGCGUGUCCCGGGAGCCGAGGGCCCUCCGGCACAGCGCUCGCGAGUCAGCCGCGCGGUGUCGCGUGGGACCGGCAUGAGGGGCCGAGAGCGCGGCCGCCGGAGCCUUCCGUCGGGGGAAGCCAGGGCACGCUUCGGCGGUGGCCGGCGCUCCCCGGGGCGGCGCUGCGGGCCGAGGGCGGGCGGGGCCAGAUCCUGAAAGACCUUGGGUGCCGUCCCAAGGGGCUUAGACGGGACCGUCAUGGAGAGCUGAUGAAGGGUCUUUGUUUUAGUUUGGUUUGGGCAGGGAAGAGCUUGCCCUUUAUAAAGAUCAGUGGUUUGAAAAUCCUUUUGAGCAAGCAGAUAGCCUUCUGCAAAUCAAAUACCAAACGGAACAUAGACUUAAAAACCAGAUCAAGGUGUAGCUGCGGGCCAGCGCUGAGCAGGAGGAAGAGGCGUGGCACCCAGGGGAAGGCGGCCAGGCCACCCCAGAACGGGGGAUGCGCCAGCGAAACUGGAGGGUCUCCUCUUGUCCCCAAAGAAACUUAAGCCCAGAAGAGCGUUGGGGUGCCCCUCCCAACCCACCUGGUCUCCUGCCUCCCAGUCCACCCCAUUUUGUACCUCUGGUACCUUGCUUUUAGGGGUGGCUGGGGAGCACCUUCAGCUGCUCCUGGUCUUGUAGAGGUCUGGGAAAAGCCAGAAGCCGGUGGGCUGAGCCCUCUUCCUCUUCUCCAGCCAAGGCCAUCCUUUCUGCCUGGGCUGAGAAAAGCAACUCACCUUCUAGAGCUUCUUAACUCUGGUUGCUCUGAAAACAAAGAAACAAGAAACGAUGCCUCUAGAUUAGGUGAAGCAGCUUGGGGGACCUUGGAGGUCUUCUCCCUCAAUUCCUUAUCUUCUAGAUGAAGAUGGUGGAAUCCAGAGAGAUUGUCUCUCCCUCAGCCCCCAGCAUGGUGUCCAGGCGGAAACAGGAACCACUCAUUUGUUCUUUCAGCUGAUCACAACCUGGCCCCCUAGGGGAUGGGGACGGCCCCCAGCCUGGUGGAGACCCACACAGGACACAGCAGCUGGGCGGCGGGGCUGGGGGUCUCCGUGUGGGGUCCUGCGCACUCUCAUAGGGGAUGCUCUUAAGGCAAACCAGAGCUAACAAGACCCUCCUCCUUCAUCGGAAUUGAAAAUGCCACUGAUUUUCCUUUUUUUCAACAGUAAGAAAGGGCAGUCAUCAGGACACUUCGUUGUGAGAAGAACCCAGCUGAAACCAGCCUGGUCAAAUGGAGGUCAUUCAAAGGCAGGCUCUUGGGGGGGGGGGGGUAUCUCUGCAGUUGGAGGGGAGCCGUGUGCCUGGCAUGCAGCUCGCUCUGGGCACUGGUGCCUUUGUCCCCGCAAACUGGCAGCAAAGUGAAUGAAGAGACGAUGCAGGUGAGAACAGGCUACAGUGUGACCCUUGAGGGGAGGCCCCUGGGCUUACACCCAACUGUCUUCUUACCUCAGUAGCAGGGACCAUGUCUGGUUUAAUUGGCUCUGCAGCAUCUAGAACAUUCCUGAUUCAGCAAGCACUUCAUGUCUACUGAAUGAGCAACCAUGAGGAUCUGCCGUCAUCUAGCCUGGAGUCUAGCAGGGGGAUGGAGAGUGAAGCACUUGAUACCUGUCCUGAAGUAUACUUAAAGAAUUUAUGAAGUAGAUUCUUGAGGAGCCAAGUCAGUUAAAAUCCUAAAUCUUCAAAGCUCCCUUGAAAGGUAAUUUUCAUAGUCCUUAAAUUUUAAUUGUCAUUGUUUAUUACUGUUUUGGCUACAUUCUCUACAAUUUCAGCAGCAUCUUAAAGAGACAAUGUGUCUGUAUGUACAAUGAAACAAAAUGGCUUGCAACAUGAGAAAUAAGAGCCACAGUUUAACUGUACAAUAUUAAGGAGAAUCUGUGGUUAUCACCUCCUUUUUCGGCAACAUGGACAAUUUACAUGUAAGUAUCAGUAUUGUGAAUGUGACAAAUAAUUCUUACAGGAGUAAAAUAUAACAUCCUGAAAAAUAAUGGUUUCUACCAUACAACGCAGUUAGAAAUGUUCACAUUUUAACAAAUCUGUACAAACCACAAGAAACUUAUUUAUGGGACCAUCAUCUCACCUUUCUGAUAAGAACCUUCUAGAAAUGUAGGAGAAACAUGAACAAUUUAUAAAUCUAGUUAUCUAUGUGCUCCAUAGCCCUAGAAACCAAGAAUCUGACUGAAUGAACCCUAUAUAUCCAAGAUGGGUCAUUUUUACAUGCCUUGAUUGUUAAUGAAUGCCAGCCUUUAAUAUCUCUCUAUGAUGUACAGUCAACUUGCACCUUUAAGGAGGUCAUUAGAUUUUUUAGCAAAGAAGCAACAUCAUUUAGCAGCAAUUAAAGCGCCUUCAAGAAGACUUAAAAAAAAUACAAUAUCCAAUUAGAAAAGCCAUAUUUUUAAACAUUUGUACAAGAAUAAGCUGCUGAAACUUGGUAAUUGAAAUACAACAUCUGUACAACAAUUUACAAUAGAGCUAGAAGGGAAUUUAUCAUUAUCCUGCAUAGAACUGGUCUGAUCUGCAUUUGGUUACAUACUGUCACUUGUUUAUGAACAAGGCCUGGUAACAAAGGGAAAAUAUCUUAAUUCAAACAUGUUGAAAACAGAGAUAUUUAGUGAAUUCAACUGAUUUUAAAACAAGCAGCUCAUUUUGUCAAAGGUGUAAAGUGUUUUAGGAGUAACAGCUAUCCUGUUAAUGACUAGUGGGAAAAAAAAAAAAAAAACAAUAAAACAAAAAUGGACACAUGGUUUCGAGGUACAACUUGGUAAAAGCCAAAAUAGGCAAAUGACAAAGUCUAACUAUGUCUAAUGAUUCUAACUCUCACAUUCUACUAUAAAACACAAAUGUCACUGUCAUUCAGUUCUUACUUUGGUUUCAGCAGAUUAACUGCUGAAUGCUGAAGAAUGUAUCCAGGCACUAUAGUUCUUGUGUUAGAAAUAUUUUUUCCAUGUGUUUUUAAAUAAUGAAAAACUACCCUUCAUAUUAGAACUCUCUAGUAACAACCAAAUGUAUUUAAGUAUUAUAAACGUUAUUUACAGUGUUCCCCCAAACAGUUUUUCUUAACAUGGUAUUCCUGUUUCUGUGCAACAGGCAGUCAUCCUUCACUGCUCAAGGAUAUAGUCAAAAGUGUACAUUUUAUUCAUUGUCCAUGAUCCACUCUCAUACAAAUGACGCCAUGAAGAACUUCAGUUCACAAAUAGUUCUCAACCAUGUCCUGCGUGAGGAAAAAAAAAAAAAAAAAAAACAAAAAAAACAGAAAACAAUCAAA